UCCAGGACAAUGGGGGCAGGCAAGAUGCCCCCAUGCCGGUAAACCGAUUUAGUCCGUAAGGAAACAAUGUUCUUUAAUCCAGGAAGAUAAUGACGGUACCGUAAGAAUAAGCUCCGGCUAACUUCGUGCCAGCAGCCGCGGUAAUACGUAGGGGGCGAGCGUUAUUCGGAAUUACUGGGCGUAAAGCGUACGCAGGCGGUUAUUUAAGUCAGAGGUGAAAUCCCGGGGCUCAACCCCGGAACUGCCUUUGAAUCCGCAAAUCUAGAGUCUGUCAGAGGUGAGUGGAAUUCCGAGUGUAGCGGUGAAAUUCGUAGAUAUUCGGAAGAACACCAGGGCGAAGGCAACUCCCUGGGUAACACUGACGCUGAGCACGGAG
rnacentral:rRNA from 1 species